rnacentral:lncRNA from 1 species
GUGAGUGCAGAGGAUCUUGAAAAGUCACCAGGGCCCUUACGUGUGGUCUCCUAGACCAGUCUCCAGGAAGGUAGGUAGUGACGUAUCGUGGUGGCUAUUUUCCCCUGUCCUCCAAGCAAGGAAAAUGAGCAGUGAAGACUUACUUGAUUUAUUUCAUGUUACAGGGAAAUUGUCACUUCCUACCUCUGCUAACCUUUUUGUAACGUGUUUCAGGAGACAACUAGGAGAAGCAUGCAGGGUCCGUACCGCAGUUUGGAUUGCGAGAUGCUAUGUGUUAAGGAGGUCAAAGGUAGUCUGUGAAGUGCUGGAUUUGACCUUGUGUCCAUCUUUUCUGGUGCACGUAUCGCAGCCUUCCCUGAAGCAGACGAGACUCAGUCUUUCUAUGGAAGCUCUCCUGCCGUUUCCAUCUAGUCGGUUGUCAGCUGUAACUGGUUCUUUUAAUCUCUUGUAGUAAAUGUCAGGUGAGGAGCUGACAGUUCUGUAGGUACCAAUUUUCCAUUUAUCCACAGUCUAUGUAAUACAUGAAUGGGUACUGCCUGCCUGCCAAUGACCACUGCUGUCAAUCCAACUUAGUCUGUGCUUUUCUGUGUUUCUGGAGGGAUUCUGCCAGUAUAAUUUAUCUGUAGAUUAUAAAGGAUAGGGUGGCAGUGAAUUAAAGUCUACAUUAAAUUUAUUAGCUGUACUUUAAAUAUUUGAUCACAGUGAGGCUAAAGAUUCAAGUACCCGUGUGAUGUGCUAUGACUACGCUUUACAAAUGGCCACGGUGCUUCCACAGGAUCAGAUGUAAAAAUUUCCCUUACAUUUGUGAGAAAACUGUAACUGUAUGGAUACUGUAUUUCAAGCCUAAAUAUUGUGCAUUAUUUAUAAUCUAGGAAAGGAACAUGCGACUCCAGAUGACAGAGGGAUAGAAAAGGAUUAAGAUCACCUCCUUGGUAAACAUGCACGAGAGCUGGGGGGAGGCGUAAACCGCACGUGCGCCAGAGCAGCGCGACCUGUUCUGUAGACAGAGGAGAUGUGGAGACAGGACAGCUGGGGUAAAGGAUAGUGUAUAAAAGGUUAAAUGUGUACCUGCUUGUAUGCUGCCUCCUUUCCUGUGUGAUCUGGAGCAGCGGGUAUGAUGGGAUGCGAUGGAGCCCGUUCAGGCUGUUGUAACGCGGAAGAUGGGGCUUUGUGGGUUGCUCCUGCGCUGUUUUGAGCUCCUCAGCUGCCUUCAGCUCUCAUUUGCAGUGAAGCUUUUCACGCGUUAUUCCCUUCUUUGCUCUCCUUCCUGUACAUGUAUGAAGAGACAAGGCUAAAAUAAGGGCACACAAAUGUGUUCUGGGUAAAACUUGUCAUGCCUUUAUUUACUGUAGUACUUCCAUCGUGUUUAUGAAAUGAGCUUAAUGCUGCUUCAGGCAGAAUGAGGCCUAAUAUUCGUAUAUACGCAUCGACAACGGCUAUAUUGCUUAUCG